GAGGGGCAGACUUUAACUAUGCUAGCGAAUUCUUAUGCGAAGUCUGCUAAAGAGAUUUGACUACGCCUUUCCUCGCUCCAUCACUCCUGGCCUACGCUUCUCCACAAAUAGCCACUAAGAGCUAUUGCUGCCCACAGCUUCAACCUACUUCGCGGUGACGGUAGGCUUUCUACUUCUCGUUUGCUAGCAACUAAGAAUCCCAAGGUAGUUGAGAAUCGAACAGUGAAAAAGAAAGACUGCAGAACAGAAGAGGUCCGUGACAAGGCAAUGGGAAGAAGGAACUGCUAGUCCCUGGGUCCUGUUUCUAGGUUUACAGAACAAGAAAUGGCCACACAGCCAUAAGCUCUACAGAACAAGCAACGUUGCGAACAGAUCACCUGUCCAUUCACCACCUUCCUGUUCAAGACAUGAUGGAAGCUAAAACCCAAAGGCAAGAGGAGAGCUGCAAUUCGGAACUCCGAUGCAGUAAAGAGAGGCAAAGGACCUCCUCAUGCAUACUCACGACAUCACAUGAAAAUGAAGACAAUGCAAGCUUCAGAGGUAAAGAGCUCAAAAACGGGCACAUACCAAUACUCUUGCUUUUCUUACAAGACUUGCCAGCUCCAUGAUAUUGCUUCCUGAAUUGCUUCCUUCUCCUCCAAGUACGCAAAGCAAGCUGCAAAUGCAUCUAUUUGUGCAAGUUCAUCAUGCUCAUGGAAUUGUGGGCGAUUCGACACCUAAUCUAUAAAACCCACCUGGAAAACAAUGGAAACUGGAA